rnacentral:lncRNA from 1 species
AAACACAUUUCAAAACCUUCGUCUAGACUCCCUCUUUCAUAAUCUUAUGUCAAAACCUCAAGAUUCCUAGCCUAUAGAUAAAACUGAGGCAAACCUAUCAUGAAACCUAGGUACGACUUCUUGCAAUUAAACAACACAGAGGAGGAAUCAAAGCCCGACUGCUUAUGGCUUUGAUUCCUCAAGCCUAAUACUACAUGGGGGUAACACAAUCAGCUCGAAUUGACAAAGAAAUCGAAGAACUCAUAGACGAGGCGGAGAAUGGCCUCAGAGUCAUAGGAGUUGAAAAAGAAUGAACUUGAAGAAUGAAAGAAGCUUAAUGAUAUAUGU